UUGACCGAUUUAGUUGAAUCAAUGCGUGGUCUGCUCCUUCUGCCAAAACGAAUCUCCCUCCUCCACAUCCAACACACAGCAGGGGCCUCCUCAUCCGAGACUACGGGGGAUGCCAAAAGCUGAGAGAAGCCAGGGCAUGUGUCUGGUAAUAUCUGGACUCCUGGGUGGUGGCUGAGAUGUCGAUCAAAUUCCUCACCGUGGCUGACCAGACAGAUGACACCUGCUGAGAUGGGUUCGUCCCCUUCCCCCAGGGGCUCUGCCAGGGCUGGUGCCCAGUGAUCCAUCCCUGCUGAAAGCCCAAAAGUGGAUACAGGGGGCUUUGAAACUCCACCCAGCUGGGUUGUGGAGCUAGCUAGUACCUGG